rnacentral:rRNA from 1 species
AUCGGAUAGACUACAGGAUCCCCUAGUAACUGCGAGUGAAGCGGGAAAAGCUCAAAUUUAAAAUCUGGCGGUCUUUGGCCGUCCGAGUUGUAGUCUGGAGAAGCGUCUUCCGCGUUGGACCGUGUACAAGUCUCUUGGAACAGAGCGUCAUAGAGGGUGAGAAUCCCGUCUUUGACACGGACUACCAAUGCUUUGUGAUGCGCUCUCAAAGAGUCGCGUUGUUUGGGAAUGCAGCGCAAAAUGGGAGGUGAAUUCCUUCUAAAGCUAAAUAUUGGCGAGAGACCGAUAGCGAACAAGUACCGUGAGGGAAAGAUGAAAAGCACUUUGGAAAGAGAGUUAAACAGUACGUGAAAUUGCUAAAAGGGAAACGCUUGAAGUCAGUCGCGUCGUCCGGAACUCAGCUUUGCUUCGGCUUAGUGCACUUUCCGGUUGACGGGCCAGCAUCGAUUUUGACCGCUGGAAAAGGGCUGGAGGAAUGUGGCACCUUCGGGUGUGUUAUAGCCUUCAGUCGCAUACAGCGGUUGGGAUCGAGGAACGCAGCGCGCCUUAUGGCUGGGGUUCGCCCACAUUCGCGCUUAGGAUGCUGGCAUAAUGGCUUUAAACGACCCGUCUUGAAACACGGACCAAGGAGUCUAACAUGCCUGCGAGUGUUUGGGUGGAAAACCCGAGCGCGUAAUGAAAGUGAAAGUUGAGACCUCUGUCGUGGAGGGCAUCGACGCCCGGACCUGACGUUUUCUGAAGGAUCCGCGGUAGAGCAUGUAUGUUGGGACCCGAAAGAUGGUGAACUAUGCCUGAAUAGGGUGAAGCCAGAGGAAACUCUGGUGGAGGCUCGUAGCGAUUCUGACGUGCAAAUCGAUCGUCAAAUUUGGGUAUAGGGGCGAAAGACUAAUCGAACCAUCUAGUAGCUGGUUCCUGCG